GACGUAGGGCGCGAGCGUUGUCCGGAUUUAUUGGGCGUAAAGAGCUCGUAGGCGGCUUGUCGCGUCGUCCGUGAAAACUUGGGGCUCAACCCCAAGCUUGCGGUCGAUACGGGCAGGCUAGAGUUCGGUAGGGGAGACUGGAAUUCCUGGUGUAGCGGUGAAAUGCGCAGAUAUCAGGAGGAACACCGGUGGCGAAGGCGCCGCUCUGGGCCGUGACUGACGCUGAGGAGCGAAAGCGUGGGUAGCAAACAGG
rnacentral:rRNA from 1 species